rnacentral:rRNA from 1 species
UACAGAGGUCUCAAGCGUUGUUCGGAUUCACUGGGCGUAAAGGGUGCGUAGGCGGUCGGGUAAGUCUGAUGUGAAACCUCACAGCUUAACUGUGAAACUGCAUUGGAUACUAUCCGGCUUGAGGAAUGGAGGGGAGACUGGAAUACUUGGUGUAGCAGUGAAAUGCGUAGAUAUCAAGUGGAACACCAGUGGCGAAGGCGAGUCUCUGGACAUUUCCUGACGCUGAGGCACGAAAGCGUGGGGAGCGAACAGG